GUUUACUUUGGCUGAGUGGUCUAAAGCAUUGGCUUCAAAACCCAAUUUAUCAUGGGUUCGAAUCCCAUGGGUACCA